rnacentral:tRNA from 1 species
GCCGACGUAGCUCAAUCGGCAGAGCAACUCACUUGUAAUGAGUAGGUUAGGAGUUCGAUUCUCCUCGUCGGCU